rnacentral:rRNA from 1 species
UACGUAGGGUGCGAGCGUUAAUCGGAAUUACUGGGCGUAAAGCGUGCGCAGGCGGUGAUGUAAGACAGAUGUGAAAUCCCCGGGCUCAACCUGGGAACUGCAUUUGUGACUGCAUCGCUGGAGUGCGGCAGAGGGGGAUGGAAUUCCGCGUGUAGCAGUGAAAUGCGUAGAGAUGUGGAGGAACACCGAUGGCGAAGGCAGCCCCCUGGGCUGAGAUUGACGCUCAGGCACGAAAGCGUGGGGAGCAAACAGG